rnacentral:rRNA from 1 species
GACGAACGCUGGCGGCGUGCUUAACACAUGCAAGUCGAACGGAAAGGCCCUGCUUUUGUGGGGUGCUCGAGUGGCGAACGGGUGAGUAACACGUGAGUAACCUGCCCCUGACUUUGGGAUAACUUCAGGAAACUGGGGCUAAUACCGGAUAGGAGCUCCUGCUGCAUGGUGGGGGUUGGAAAGUUUCGGCGGUUGGGGAUGGACUCGCGGCUUAUCAGCUUGUUGGUGGGGUAGUGGCUUACCAAGGCUUUGACGGGUAGCCGGCCUGAGAGGGUGACCGGCCACAUUGGGACUGAGAUACGGCCCAGACUGCUACGGGAGGCAGCAGUGGGGAAUAUUGCACAAUGGGCGGAAGCCUGAUGCAGCAACGCCGCGUGCGGGAUGACGGCCUUAGGGUUGUAAACCGCUUUCGCCUGUGACGAAGCGUGAGUGACGGUAAUGGGUAAAGAAGCACCGGCUAACUACGUG